CAGAACGGCGUUCCUGGAAUGUUGGAUGAAGGCUAUUAGGUUUCCCCUGGCACGGGCCAGGUCCUGUACGUGGAGAGGACCACGGUCGAAGGCUCCUCCGUGACCGAAACAACAACACUUGCACCAGAAGAGGCAGACAGUGGCGUGGUCAAGCGGCAUUUUGUCGGGAAGUUCGAGAUACCGGUGGACAGAACGGUCUCCCCGCAUUUGGCGGUUGUUAGCUAGUUGUUGAGCUUUUGUUGGAAGAAAGUAAUUUAUAGGGUCGGCUUGUGU